GUAGGUGCAAGAGUUCGCCUACCGCAUGCUCAUGCGCGGUCUGCACCCGAAGGUGCAGGCAACACCGUUCAAAUGCUGGGCGUGCCGGGCGCAAGCCCGUCACCAUCAGCAGCCGGCGCUCCGGCGCCCGGCCCACAGAUCAUCCGACGGUGACCUAUCGAGGUUAAGAUAUGAUCGGUCCCGGCCCGCUCUGGGCCUUGGGAGGCACGGAACCUGCGGAAGGAUCAUUACCGAGAGACGGGACCUAACC
rnacentral:misc_RNA from 1 species